rnacentral:rRNA from 1 species
AACGAACGCUGGCGGCAUGCCUAACACAUGCAAGUCGAACGAGACCUUCGGGUCUAGUGGCGCACGGGUGCGUAACGCGUGGGAACCUGCCUUAGGUUCGGAAUAACUCAGAGAAAUUUGAGCUAAUACCGGAUAAUGUCUUCGGACCAAAGAUUUAUCGCCUUUAGAUGGGCCCGCGUUGGAUUAGCUAGUUGGUGGGGUAAAGCCUACCAAGGCGACGAUCCAUAGCUGGUCUGAGAGGAUGAUCAGCCACACUGGGACUGAGACACGGCCCAGACUCCUACGGAGGCAGCAGUGGGGAAUAUUGGACAAUGGGCGAAAGCCUGAUCCAGCAAUGCCGCGUGAGUGAUGAAGGCCUUAGGUGUAAAGCUNUUUACCCGAGAUGAUAAUGACAGUAUCGGGAGAAUAAGCUCCGGCUAACUCCGUGCCAGCAGCNCGGUAAUGUGACUACUG